GGCGAGCUCGGGCAACGGUGGGAAUACCCGGACUAUCCGACGUCUCUCCUUCCGCCACCACAGUCGUUGUGUUGGCUAUUCGUUCCCGCCUCUCAUCUGUGACGUGACCUUUACUCCUGCUGUCGCACCCUGCUUUUGUACCUGGCCUUCAUCCUUGCUAAAACCUCAGUUUACCCUCCAACUAUUGCACAUUUAGUGUAGAUUUUAGCAAAUACCAAAACUCCUCACCCUCACUCUACCCUCCAUUUUAGCUGCUACUUCUCUCCUAACUACAGGGAAUAUACUAGUUAAGAUACACAAAAUUACCUGGAGAAGUUUUUGAAGAAAAUAUUUUCAGCCUUACUAUAUAUCUACGAUUUAUAUUUAUAUACAAAUAUAUUAGUUACGGAAAAUGGAAUACUUCAAUAUCACUCAUUACUAUAUCAUAAAACAUUUUAUUGAUUUGUCAUUUAUAAUUGAUUGUUUAUUUCUAUGGCACCAUUAAAUUGUUAUUUAUACAACUAUCAUAUCAUCUUUUUAAGUUUUACUUGAUAUGAUAUAAUAAUGUGUGAUGUUGUUCAGUAUUCAAUAUUUAUUAUGGUAGUACUGCUCUAUUGCUGACAUUACUCAUACAAUAUCUUCAGUAUUCUUAAUGAUGUGGCAAUAAAUACAAAAAACACAAAUUUUGAAUUCUAAUCAAAGCUAAAUGCUUGUUGAAAAGAGCCAACUUGGUAAGAGUUGUGAAGAAAUAGUAAACAUUUUAAUCAAAUUUAUCAAAAUGACAUCAUUUCAUGCACCUUUCAAGUAAAUUCUAGGAAAAUUCUCAGUUUCAAAUCUGAAACAAAGAUGAAGAAGAUCUUCAUAAAAGAUUUCAUUUUUUUACAACUGAAGCUUUCCGACUUGGUUAACACACAUUAUUUUAAUAAGGACAAUUUAAAGUUUUAUAAUUUAAGAAGGAAUGAAAUAAAAAUGCUAAAAUGAACUGCUAAAUAUCUUUGAUGGAAAAACCAAAAAAAAAAGUAUAUCAAUUAAUUUAGGUAGAAUUAAAAAUAAUAAAUUAACCUUAAAAUAUUUUUAAGUUUAUGCCCUCCUGACCAUUUUUUUCUAACCAUGUUUUACCACAGCUCUGGAGCCAGCUCAGAUCGCCGGAGCGACCUCCCUUCAGCCACAUCCUUGGCAGCAUCUCGGAACGCCUCGCUCCGUCACCAACAACAGCAACACCCCACAUCAAUAGGAAUUCGAAAAAGGGACCCCACAUCAUCGGCCAACACAGCGGCAUCCGAUCACCAUCACCAUUUUCCACAUCACCACUCACAUCAUCAUCAUCACCACCAACAUCCUCCACCAUUAUUGUCUUCAACUAGUACGACUGCAGGAGAUCCAACCACAGCCACAUCAGGAUCAUUCCGAGCUAAACAAUCCGGUCGAUCCGAAGUGAAAAUAGCUGAUCCUGUAGUGACGUGUGGUGUUAGUGGUUCUUUACAGCUAGCAGCGUCUCCAGCAGUCGUGCAACCUCCAGGUAGUAUUAUUCCUGCAGGCAACAAUAACCUUCCUCUUCAAGGAGGUGGCAGAGGAGUUGGCAGUGGUGGUGUUGGAAGUGGUAGUGUGGUAGGUGUGGGAGUAGGAGACAUGUCGUCAGCCCUGCAACGACCCUUCUAUGCAACAUCCUCAAUAGGAAGCCCUCCUGAUCCGGCUUCAAUUUUGAGGAGUAGGGAAGUUUCUAAACGUGUUAUCCUAAAUGUGGGUGGGGUAAAACAUGAGGUAUUGUGGCGCACUCUUGACCGUAUGCCUCAUACUCGGCUUGGUAAGCUGAGGGACUGUAAUACACAUGAUGCAAUUGUUGACCUUUGUGACGAUUAUAGCUUGGCCGAAAAUGAAUACUUUUUUGAUCGACAUCCUCGAUCGUUUGCCUCCAUCCUCAACUUUUACCGCACUGGAAAACUUCACUUGGUGGAGGAAAUGUGUGUGCUGGCAUUCAGUGAGGACCUGGAGUACUGGGGUGUAGACGAACUUUAUUUAGAGUCAUGUUGUCAGCAUAAAUAUCAUCAGAAAAAAGAACAUGUGUUUGAGGAGAUACGCAAAGAGGCUGAGAGUCUCCGAAAGGGAGAGGAUGAAGAUUUUGGUACCGGCUCGUUCGCAAAAUGGCGACAGCGAGUUUGGGACCUCCUUGAGAAGCCGACAACGUCCAUGGCUGCGAGGGUCUUGGCCAUUGUGUCCAUUCUCUUCAUUGUCCUGUCUACCGUGGCGCUAACAUUAAACACAAUUCCUGGGCUCAAAGGUGAAGGAGAGCAGGAAGGGGCUGAUAACCCACAGCUUGCAAUUGUAGAAGCUGUUUGCAUUGGAUGGUUUACCUUGGAAUAUCUGGGACGAUUCUGGGCCUCCCCGAAUAAGUGGAAAUUUUUCAAAGGACCUUUGAACAUUAUAGACCUAUUGGCAAUCAUGCCUUAUUUCAUUUCCCUAGGAUUGACUGAGACCAACAAGAGUACGACGGAACAGUUCCAAAAUGUCCGCAGAGUGGUGCAAAUCUUUCGAAUAAUGAGAAUUCUGCGAAUUCUAAAACUUGCAAGACAUUCAACUGGUCUGCAAUCCUUAGGGUACACUUUACAGAGAAGUUAUAAAGAGCUAGGUCUAUUAAUGAUGUUUUUGGCCAUUGGAAUACUCUUAUUCUCAAGCCUUGCCUACUUUGCGGAAAAAGACGAACCAGGAACUAAGUACGUUAGUAUCCCCGAAACAUUCUGGUGGGCUGCCAUCACUAUGACGACGGUAGGAUAUGGUGACAUCUACCCGACGACGAUCCUGGGAAAAGUUGUUGGUGGCGUAUGUUGUAUAUGUGGUGUGCUAGUUAUUGCGCUUCCAAUUCCAAUCAUUGUCAAUAAUUUCGCCGAAUUUUAUAAAGAUCAGAUGAGAAGAGAAAAAGCAUUAAAACGUAAGGAGGCUCUCGAGCGGGCGAAGAGGAAUGGAAGCAUAGUCUCCUUCCACUCCGUCAAUCUGAGGGAUGCCUUCGCCAAAAGUGUCGACUUAAUGGAUGUUGCCUCCGAGGUUCCUAGAAACGACUGGGAUACAAACAGUGUGGAGACGAAAUCCAUGAGUUCACCACCGCCUUGUGUGAUGCGGGGCUCAAACCCCAAUACACCCAAGUUGAGUGGGCAAGGAGGAACAACAAACUUCAACUGCAAAGAGAAUCAGGAGAACCCCAGCAACACCAACCUGUUGGAUAUAGAUGAGGAGUCUUUGCAUCGGAUGACGACCCAAGCUUCAACUGAUACUUCAAUGCAGGUCUGGCUCUGAGAUACUCUGGCUCCAUCUGCCUCAUUAUUCCACUUUAUUACCUUUGUCUGGCUGUAAUCUUACUCCAUGUAGAGAUCUGGUCUGCAGCUUGUAGCAGGUUGGGUCAUAGAAACACCUGGUUGCCCUCUAUGUUAUAGAUCUCUAACUCUUCCCUCCCUCUGCACAACAUAUGUAUCACUUACAACUUUGAACCUACAUUUGGCUGCGGAAUAUUUCAGAUCCCAUAUCUUUUUGAUCUAGAUUGUUUCUGGAUCUCUGGUGAUCUUACACUAAUCUCACUAACUCCUAGCCUAUGUUGAGUCAUACAUGAAAUACUUAGUAUUCACAACCAUCUUUCUAUCCCAUUUCCUGUUUUGUAUGAAGUCCAUCUGGAGUACAUGUUCACCUGAGUUGUAGGUGACCCGGUUGAUGGCUGGUUUUCUGAAGUUAGUGUUGCAAAUAUCUCAAAACUUCAAAUGCCUUGCUUCCUCUUCAUUCUGUGCAUCUUAGCCUUCACAGGCAUCAGAAUAACUAUCAUGGUGUUGCUCAACAUCUUCAUUGAAGUCAGCAGCUAUCAAUAAUGAGAUUAGUGUAGUCUGUUAUGAAGCUAGUCUACAAGAUGAUCUCCCAGAAAUGGCCCUUUUAUUCAUUACUCAGUUCUGAAAGUGGUACAUAAGCUGAAAUCACUGAUAUUGUCAUGUUGUUUGUAACUAAUUUGCCACAUACCCUGACUACCUCAGUUUCCCUUAUCCAUUUUCUGCCAACAAUAUGCCUAGUCAUUCACUCAGGUACUGUUAUCCACCCAGAAAAUUUUCUACUCGUGUUCCUUGCCUGUGGAGAGUCUGGCUGAGGUUGCAUUCCAUCUUACCACUUGUUCACAGCACACAUCUACUCACACCUUUGCUCUAGAAUUUCUACAAUCUAUCCAGACUUAUCUUCUGUCAUGCCAGUGUUGAUGGUGGAAGCCCUGAAGUUUGUGCACCCCUCAUGGAGAGGAAAGUUUCUUGUGGUAUUUUGGUUGUUUGGUGUCUAUAUUCUGCAUCUGAAAGAAAGAGAGUUGGUGCUAUCAGUUGAUGACGGACGAAAGGGUUCUCACACAUGGCCAAAUGUUUCCACCUGUCCUCUACACUACCGUGCACAGCACUAACAUGCAAGGAGAAAAUAAAUCGAAAGAACCAUCCUCUUCAUCUUCAUUAUCAUCAUCAUCAUCAUCAUCAUCAUCUGAAGAAGAA
rnacentral:misc_RNA from 1 species